rnacentral:rRNA from 1 species
CCUACGGGUGGCAGCAGUGAGGAAUAUUGGUCAAUGGGCGCGAGCCUGAACCAGCCAAGUAGCGUGAAGGAUGACUGCCCUACGGGUCGUAAACCUCUUUUGCCGGGGCGCAGUGGUCCGGACGCGUCCGGACCGGGAGAGUACCCGGAGAAAAAGCAUCGGCUAACUCCGUGCCAGCAGCCGCGGUAAUACGGAGGAUGCGAGCGUUAUCCGGAUUUAUUGGGUUUAAGGGGUGCGUAGGCGGUCAUUUAAGCCGGCGGUCAAAUGUCGGGGCUCAACCCGGGCCUGCCGUCGGAACUGGGUGCCUUGAGUGGGCGAGAAGUAUGCGGAAUGCGUGGUGUAGCGGUGAAAUGCAUAGAUAUCACGCAGAACCACGAUUGCGAAGGCAGCAUACCGGCGCCCUACUGACGCUGAGGCACGAAAGUGCGGGUAUCGAACAGGAUUAGAUACCCUAGUAGUC